UACAGAGGUGGCAAGCGUUGUUCGGAAUUACUGGGCGUAAAGGGCGCGUAGGCGGCCCGUCAAGUCCCGUGUGAAAGCCCCCGGCUCAACCGGGGAACGGCGCGGGAAACUAGCAGGCUUGAGUUCGGGAGAGGGAAGCGGAAUUCCGGGUGUAGGCGGUGAAAUGCGCAGAUAUCCGGAGGAACACCGGUGGCGAAGGCGGCGUUCC
rnacentral:rRNA from 1 species